rnacentral:rRNA from 1 species
AGUGAACGCUGGCGGUAGGCCUAACACAUGCAAGUCGAACGGCAGCACAGUAAGAGCUUGCUCUUACGGGUGGCGAGUGGCGGACGGGUGAGGAAUACAUCGGAAUCUACUUUUUCGUGGGGGAUAACGUAGGGAAACUUACGCUAAUACCGCAUACGACCUACGGGUGAAAGCAGGAGAUCUUCGGACCUUGCGCGAUUGAAUGAGCCGAUGUCGGAUUAGCUAGUUGGCGGGGUAAAGGCCCACCAAGGCGACGAUCCGUAGCUGGUCUGAGAGGAUGAUCAGCCACACUGGAACUGAGACACGGUCCAGACUCCUACGGGAGGCAGCAGUGGGGAAUAUUGGACAAAGGGCGCAAGCCUGAUCCAGCCAUACCGCGUGGGUGAAGAAGGCCUUCGGGUUGUAAAGCCCUUUUGUUGGGAAAGAAAAGCAGCAGGUUAAUACCCCGCUGUUCUGACGGUACCCAAAGAAUAAGCACCGGCUAACUUCGUG